UGGACAAGAGAAUUUCUCUCGAAAAUUACUCCACGAAGAAGGCAAUUCUCGGUAAAAAUGGCGACAAAAAUGUUUAAUAAAAGUCAAAAUCGAAUUUGUUAUUGUUUUUAUACCUUAAACAGAAUAGUAAUCAAUAUAAACAGUAAAAAUAGUAUGGAAAAAGUAGCAGCAAGUCGGAGUAAGGUCAGUAAGCGGUUACCGAACUUUUGCGAUCCGAAGCGUUUUUUUCUAAAAUGGCCCAGACUCCGUUAAAACCUAUAAAAAACGAUCCAAUACAAUCUAUUUGACAUGGGUUUACAGAAAUUAAUCUUAUUUCGCGUUACAAACUUUAAAAACUACCAAUUUGCAACGCUGGCAGACACUUAAACAGCCGAUUUCGCUGUUUAACUUUUUGACGAUAAUCGACAAUCAAAAAUCAGUAAUUAACUUUGAUUAUACUUUCUGCAUACCGUUUAAAUCGUUGUUAUGUCAACAAUGAGAUUUGAUCUAAGAUCAAAGUUGAUUAUACUUUCUGCAUACCACCCUAAAACAUUUGCCCCCACCAAAAUUUUAGGCUUGCUAGGCCCUUGCAAGAUUACUCGGCUUAUGGUAAACUCCUAAAAUAUGGUAACUUUAAAUACCGGUAUAAAUACUGGCCUAUGGAAAAAAAUGAAAAGAAUUUCUAAAUCUAAACCCUGGGAAGUGACGAAAACUAAUUCUCCACUAAGCUUGGUAGGCUACUUUUUGUGGUUAGAUACAGAUCCCUAGGAAACAACUUCCAAUAAGUUGAUAAAGCCAUUUAAAGUAUUGUUAUUACCUUAAAAAAACGUUUUGAUUUGCUUAUCUAUCAAAACUGCACCAAUAAACGAUAAACCGCUGAUGGCCGGGUUUUCCCCAUGAACGAAAUAUUGUAUUGUUACCUCACAGUGCCUGUGAGUGACGUUUUUACAACUUUAAAAUUUGAUUCUUUUAAACGUUCUUAAAGAGUACGGCCCACGGUUCUCAUGGUUGCGCAGUUUUUUGCAUAAGAAUAAAGUUUUAUGUCUACUGAUACUAAAUUAACAGCUAGUUUGUGAAAAUUAUGUUCAAUUUAAAAGAUAUUAACGUUUAAAAAAUUAAAUUUUAAAGUUGUAAAAAACGUCACUCGCGGGCACUGUGACGUCACAACACAAUAUUUCGUUUAUGGUGAAAACCCGGCCUACCAAGGUUUACGGUUUAUUGGUGCAGUUUUGAUAGAUAAGCAAAUCAAAGCGAUUUGAAGGUAUUAGCAAUACUUUAAAUAGCUUCAAAUUUAUUGGAAGUUGUUUCCUGGAAAUCAGUGUAUAACCACACAAAAUAGCCUACCAAGCUUAGUGGAGAAUGAGUUUUCGUGACUUUCCAGGGUUCAGAUUUUAAAUUCUUUUCGUUUUUUUCCCCAUAUGGCUUAGACUAUAUUUAUAUCUGUAUUUAAAGAUAUCUUAUAGCAGUUUACCAUAAGCAGAGUAAUCAUGCCUGACUGGUGCUGUGUUUAAAAUAGCAGCAAAACAAGAAUGACUAAAGCCAUAAAAAGUAUAUAUAUAGGUGUGUGUGUUUUCAUUUUCAAAAGGAAAAGUGGGGCAUAGAAAAAAGCAAGCAACAUUACAUUGGAUAUGCAAGGAAACUUGUUCGGAACAAGUAAGCAGCAUUUAUUUGGAGACCGCAGAAGAACACAGAAAGUGUAUUUCUAGAAAUGUUGAAUAAAAACAACAUGACUCUUGCAUGAAUCACAUUUUGUAUGAAACAAGACCAUUCAAAACUGAAUGAUGAAAUAUUCUUGCAAAUGUUGUUCAACUGUCACUAUAAUGUUGUUCACUUAUACUUUUGAUCAGUACUGAUGGAACCUUUCUGUUUUCUUUUUCCAGUCAUUCCUGUACCUAUCUAACAAAGUUCUGAUCAGCUGUAAAGCGAUAAUGUUUAAACAAAAUAAACACCAUAAACAUGUGAUUGACCAUCUUUUUGGUAUGAAGGCCAACAACAAAUACUAUAUUAGUGAAAACUGAUUUCGCUAAAUUUGUAUUCCAUGCUCGGGUCUCAGUCAAGAAUAUCAUAUUUGCAACACAUAUGUGUUUACACAAAUUUUAGCAAAUUCAGAAA